GAUGAACGCUGGCGGCGUGCCUAAUACAUGCAAGUCGAGCGAGCGGACGAGAAGCUUGCUUCUCUGAUGUUAGCGGCGGACGGGUGAGUAACACGUGGAUAACCUACCUAUAAGACUGGGAUAACUUCGGGAAACCGGAGCUAAUACCGGAUAAUAUUUUGAACCGCAUGGUUCAAAAGUGAAAGACGGUCUUGCUGUCACUUAUAGAUGGAUCCGCGCUGGAUUAGCUAGUUGGUAAGGUAACGGCUUACCAAGGCAACGAUGCAUAGCCGACCUGAGAGGGUGAUCGGCCACACUGGAACUGAGACACGGUCCAGACUCCUACGGGAGGCAGCAGUAGGGAAUCUUCCGCAAUGGGCGAAAGCCUGACGGAGCAACGCCGCGUGAGUGAUGAAGGUCUUCGGAUCGUAAAACUCUGUUAUUAGGGAAGAACAUAUGUGUAAGUAACUGUGCACAUCUUGACGGUACCUAAUCAGAAAGCCACGGCUAACUACGUG
rnacentral:rRNA from 1 species